CAAAAGGCUUCACACAGAUGUAUGAGUUAGAUUACCAAGAAACCUUUGCUUUUGUUGCUAAAAUGAACACCAUCAGAAUCUUGCUAUCAUGUGCAUCAAAUCUUGAGUGAGACUUACAACAGUUUGAUGUAAAAAAUGUCUUUCUGUAUAGUGACUUGGAAGAAGAAGUAUAUAUGGAAAUUUCUCCAGGGUUUAAGGAUGAAAAGACCAGAGGGAAAGUUUACAGAUUGAAGAAGGCUUUGUAUGGUUUAAAACAGUCACCUAGGGCAUGGUUUGAUAGGUUUAGUAAGGCGAUGAUUUCCUUUGGAUAUUGUCAAAACAAUGUUGAUCACACCUUAUUUAUGAGACACUGUAGGGGCAAAAUCACACUACUUAUUAUUUAUGUAGAUGAUA
rnacentral:misc_RNA from 1 species